rnacentral:misc_RNA from 1 species
GCGGGGACGACCCCGC